GUCCUAGGGCGGGGCUAAGGCCAGACCCAGAGAAGGGCUCAGGAGGCGGGGCCGGGGCAGGGCGUUGACUAUGUCGUACCACAUGGCCAGGCGGUGCGCGGACUCUGGGAGGCGGAACUUAGGACGGGCCCACUUGGGGAGGGGUCCAGGGUCCGGGAGGCGGGGCCGAGUCCGGGCUGCAGGCUGCGCUCAGGAGGCGGGCCCUGGGAGGCGGAGCUUAGGGAGGGGCCGGUGUCGGGAGGGACCCAGGGACUGGGAGGCCGGUCGGGGCUGGGCUCAGGGGCCGAGACCUAGCUGGGCUUGGGGCGGGGCCGAGACGGAGCGAGGGGUCCAGGGCGUGGGAAACGGGGAGGGGUUUGAGGAGGGGAUCGGAAUGUGGCUCAAGUUCGGGAGGCGUUACCUGCGGAGGGUUUGAGGCAGGUCCAGGAGCGAGCCCACGGUCCGCCGACGCGGGACCAGGGGCGGGCCCCAGGAUCCGGAGCUUCGGGCGGGGCCGAGUCCGGGUUUGGGGCCCGGAAGGCGGGGCCAGUUAGGGCGAGGGUCCCUGGGAUCGUCAGGUCAGGCCUUGGGCUAACGUAGGCACUCUCGCAGUUCCUCCGCCUUCAGGAAAGUCUUUUUAGCAGGGGCCUUACGGGUUCGCGCUUUGGUCCUGGAGGCCUUAUCCUAGCCUCCUCUGUAUCAGCGCCACCAGUCUGGGGCCCGAAAGGAGGGAGCUUUCCCUCUGUCCCCCAGCCUUUGGACUGUCACCAAACAAGCCAUUCGUUCACCAAAUACUUAUUAAGCGCCUACCAUGUGCCUGACAAGGGAGAUGUAACGCUGUUGUUCCCCACCAGAACCAAAUGAGCGCAAGAUCUGACAAAGAAAAAAAGAAGUUCAUCUUUUAUUCCCCCAAACCCUUUCAUUUAAAUCAAGAGGGUGGGAUGUGGUUAUUGCUGUGUUUUUAGGCAGAAUCAACGGUUUCUGGGUCUGAGAAGUUGCAUACACACUCUCAGUCCCUGUAUCCUGAGAUGGAGUCACCUGAGGAUCCACAGCAAGUCCUAACCAGGGAUGGGUCUGGGUGAUUAAGGAAGGUUGGCUUCAGAACUGGGCCAGAGGCACUGCUUUGCUUUUGCUGUUUUGAUCAGCUCUGUGCCUGCAUGAGACAAGGAAAAUCAAUGGGAACAGCCCAGUAAAGUCGCCAUUCCCCAUUUUACAGCUGGGGAAACUGAGUUACAGAGCUUUUCUGCACUGAGUCAUCAGGAGCAAAUGCUAGAUCAGAUAGAGUCUCUCUCUCUGCCACCCAGGCCAGAGUGCAGUUGACGCAGGGCAGGGGAGCCCCGAAGUGGAGCAUAGUGUGUCCGGAACUGGUGGGUUCUUGGUCUCCCUGACUUCAAGAAUGAAGCCACGGACCCUCGGGAAAUGAGGCUUCUCCCCAGGACCAGCAUUCCACGAAGGCAGCCCUUUUCUAGAUGGAGAAAACAGAACCUGAAGACACCCGUUUCCCUAAACUGCUCUCGCUCAUGUUUCUACAAGGCCUGGAGCUGAUAGGAAAAACCUCCCUUCUUUCCCAAAUGGUCCCCAGCUGCCCCGUUCACUGAAGGCCCUGCAGUCAGGAACGGUCAGGACUUCACACCCAGUUGUUGUGGGUGUUUGGCCGACACGACACUUCCUCUUGUGUGAUUCAUGGACCCGCAGCAUUGCGUCACCUGGGAGCUUUUGGUAUUGAAGACUCUCAGGGCUCACCCGGAAGGACCUGCUGGGCCAGAAUCUACAUUUUAACAAGAUGCCCAGAAACUCCUGGAGGGCAGAGGCAUGCCUGCCAUCUUCAUCAUUGCAUUACCACCACCCAACACUAUCGGGGGACCUGCCCUGAUAAUCAGGUAGGUUCUUUUCUAUUUUCCUAAGCGUCGACUGGCUUGAGAAAUAAAAGGACAGAGUACAAAAGAGAGAAAUUUUAAAGUUGGGUAUCCGGGGGAGACAACACACAUUGGUAGGAUCCGUGAUGCCCCACAAGCCACAAAAACCAGCAAGUUUUCAUUAGGGAGUUUCAAAAGGGGAGAGAGUAUAUGAAUAGGAGUGGGUGACAGACAUCAAGUACUUAACAGGGUAAUAGAAUAUCACAAGGCAAGUGGAGACAGGGUGAGAUCACAGGACCACAGGAUGGAAGUGAAAUUAAAAUUGCUAAUAAAGUUUUGGCACCAUUGUCAUUGAUAACAUCUUAUGAGGAGACAGGGUUUUGAGAUCAACCCGUCUGACCAAAGUUUAUUAGGUGGGAAUUUUCUCUUCCUAAUAAGCCUGGGAGUGCUGUGGGAGACUGGAGUUUAUUUCACCUCUGCAAUCUCGACCAUAAGUGACAGGUAAGCCCCGGGGGGCCAGUUCAGAGACCUACCCCUAGGUGCGCAUUCUCUUUCUCAGGGACGUUCCAUGCUGAGAAAAGGAAUUCAGUGAUAUUUCUCCCAUUUGCUUUUGAAAGAAGAGAAAUAUGGUUCUGUUCUGCCUGGCUCACCAGCGGUCAGAGUUUAAGGUUAUCUCUCUAAUUCCCUGAACAAUUGCUGUUAUCCUGUUCUUUUUUCAGGGUGCCCACAUUUCAUAUUGCUCAAACACACAUGAUGUACAAUUUGUGUACUUAACGCAAUUAUUACAGGUCCUGAGACGAUAUACAUCCUUCUCGACUGACAGGAUUAAGAGAUUAAAGUAAUGACAGGCAUAGGAAAUCACAAGGGUAUUGAUUGGGGAAGUGAUAAGUGUCCAUGAAAUCUUCACAAUUUAUGUUUAGAGAUUGCAGUAAAGACAGGCAUAAGAAAUUACAAAAGUAUUAAUUUGGGGAACUAAUAAAUGUCCAUAAAAUCUUCAUAAUCCACGUUCUUCUGUCAUGGCUUCAGCCGGUCCCUCUGUUUGGGGUCCCGACUUCCCGCAACAUCUCUCCCUUUCUUUUUAUAUAAAUGUGCCAUGGCGAUGAAGGCUUGUUCAUUCUCUCGAUUUUGACACAGGAUUAUUUGACUGGUACGGCACACUAAAAGCAAGCCGAUGAAGCAGAGAAACAUAAUUCCAGAAUUUACUACAGUGGAGCCCCCAAUAGACUUAAUCCAAGUUCUGGGGUUUAAUCCAUAAAGAUUUUCUGCCACCU
rnacentral:lncRNA from 10 species